UUUUUAUAUAGAUUUUGUAGAUAUUGUUUGCAAUAAGUACCCAUAUCAUAGUGAAAAACACUUUCAAGGACAAACAUUGAGCAAAAUCUUUAAAGGUUUAAUUUUUAGUGUUUAUCACAACUUUGUGUUUUCAGUAUUCAAGUUGAUAUGAACAAUCAGUUUACAGUUGCAAUAUGUCUAUACAGCAAAUGUCAUGCAGGAGAUGAGGCCAAGUGGGGCCCUUCAACAUGGUGUUCAAUUAUAAACAAAAAGCACCAUAUUCAACCACAGAAACAACGAUAGACAAACAAUACAAACAAAACACCAGAUUUAAGAGAAUAAAAGAUGAAGCAACAACAAUAUAUUACUAUAACCAGAAUGAACGCACAUUCUUGAGAUAUGUACAAAGCAUCAGUAGGUUUUUAUGAUUUGUGGCAUGUGCAUUGGUCAACCUUUUUUUCCGAUAAUUCGUUUAUACUAUAGUUUCAUAUACUACCGCGGCACUAUAUGGCAAUCUGCAAAUUAAAUUCUUUAUUCUACUUGAAAAUUAGUUUUUGUUUCAUUGUUCUAUAAGCCUGGUUUUCAACAGCACUUAUCACUUAGUUUUUACCAUGCUUAAAAUACUAAAAUGUCAAUUAACCAUGAGGGAUAUUUAGGUAUUCGAUGUUAUUCUAUGGUUAACAUGUCGAAAUGUACUAUUAUAUUAUUUAUGUAUGCAUUUGCUUGUCCUCGGUGUUCUUGUGUUUAUUUGUACUGUAUUCCUGUCAUGUAAUGUUGUCAUUUAAGUGUUACAUUUUACAUUGCCUUUAAGCGGGAGGUUUGGAUAGCCAAAAAAACAGUUUCAACCUACCAUUUUUCUUUAAAUGUCCUGUACAGGUCAGAAAUAUAACAGUUGUUAUCUAAUAGUUCGUUUAUAUGUACAUGUAUGUUGCAUUUGGAUUUGUUUUGUUGCACUUCAGUGUUUGUUCCAUUGUUUUCAUUACAGUUGAUGUGUUUCCCUCGGUUUUAGUUUGUAACCCGAAUUUGUGUUCUCUCAAUCGAUUAUGGACUUUUGAACUGUGGUUUACUACUGUUGCCUUUAUUUAAAUAGUAUGCUGAAGUUUCUGUUAUUGUUAACCUUUGAUUGAAAAAAAACUAGAGACUGAGCUUCAUAACACAUUGUUAAUUGUAUAAUACGGAGGGACUACCAUCAAAAAGGUUUUACGCAACAUUUAAAAGAGCUUCAUUUUAAUAUAAAUCAUCUCAUUUAUUUAUUUUAAGUAAUCUUAUAAUUAGAAACAGUACAUCGAUGUUUUCGUAAUAAUCAUAUCGCAAAUGUUUACUCAUCUUCCAAUUUUACGCAUGUCACCUGAAAACAAUAAGACACACAGAUUUGGAGGCGUGCUGUUGAAACAGCAUUUUUGUUAUCAUGAAAUGUUAUCUAUCAAUGCAUUUAGAACAAAGUACAAAAUAUGUAUAUUCUGCUUUAAAUGUAAUCAUAAAACAAUAAGAUAUUUUAAAAUUGUAGAAUAAUGCCUAGUGAAUAACAGUGUACAUUGAAAGCAUGAAUUGUGUAUAUUCAUUAAAUUAUUUUUGAACUGAAUUUGUUAUAUGAAUGAAUGUGUCUGAAAUAUAAAAGUUGCAUGCAAUGCAUGUAUAUCAAAGAAGAUGGAGGGUAGCGCAAAAGAUAAUCGUAUUUUUGUAAUUCAAAGAAUCAAGGCUAAGGAAUGAAUAAUUUAAUAGAUGGUUUGAAAUUUUGGCUUUCAUAUUCAGCUAAAUGUGUUACAUUUACUAUUCUUAUUUAACACCAUCUUUAAUCCUUUCAUGUACACGACAUUCAUAUUUAAUAUAACAGGAUGUUUACCAAAACUCUAAAAAAAAACAUCAACUGCAACAAAAAAGUAAUAAAAAACAACCAAUUUUUAAAUUUCUUCACAAUCUUCCAGUCAUACAACUAGAUAUUAAAAAAAAAUAUCAAUUUAUUUCUUUUUUUUCAUUUUAGUUUUACACAUAACGCAUAUACAUUAGAUUGGAUUUUGUCGGUUUAAUCAUCGACUCACAAAACCCAAAUGCAUGAAAAAUGUUUGACAGAUUGUACUUUAAUUUUUUAUUCUACCUUUGUCUUUCGCCUAUAUAUGCAUUUUCUAUAAAUCAUAAAAAUACCAAUUUAUUUUUCAAAAUGUAUUCAAACAUCUGCCAACAGAAAAUAAGAAAUGGUAUGGACAUUGCACGUCAGCAAUUACAUUACAGAUUUAUAUGUUUUCCUGUUUUACCCCCUUGAUAAAUAAAUAUAUGGGGAAAAUGUGAUAAUUACUUUAAACAUGUAUAUUUAUUAAGUUGAACACAUAUAUUGAUCUGUGAUAUUCUUUUGUUUAUUUCAUACUGUUUUAAUAAAAUGAAAAU
rnacentral:lncRNA from 1 species